rnacentral:rRNA from 1 species
GACGAACGCUGGCGGCGUGCUUAACACAUGCAAGUCGAACGGUGAAGGGACCAGCUUGCUGGUUCUGGAUGAGUGGCGAACGGGUGAGUAACACGUGAGUAACCUGCCCCCUUCUUCUGGAUAACCGCAUGAAAGUGUGGCUAAUACGGGAUAUUCUGGGUCUGUCGCAUGGCGGGCCCGGGAAAGAUAUUGCUUCGGUGGGGGAUGGGCUCGCGGCCUAUCAGCUUGUUGGUGGGGUGAUGGCCUACCAAGGCGGUGACGGGUAGCCGGCCUGAGGGGGUGGAAGGCUACACUUGGACUGAGACACGGCCCAGACUCGUACGGGAGGCAGCAGUGGGGAAGAUUGCACAAUGGGCGCAAGCCUGAUGCAGCGACGCCGCGUGAGGGAGGGAGGCCUUCGGGUUGUAAACCUCUUUCGCCAGUGAAGCAGGCCUGCUCCUUGUGGGUGGGUUGACGGUAGCUGGAUAAGAAGCGCCGGCUAACUACGUG